UACAGAGGUCUCAAGCGUUGUUCGGAUUCAUUGGGCGUAAAGGGUGUGUAGGUGGCGCCGUAAGUCGGGUGUGAAAUUUCGGAGCUUAACUCCGAAACUGCAUUCGAUACUGCGGUGCUUGAGGACUGGAGAGGAGACUGGAAUUCAUGGUGUAGCAGUGAAAUGCGUAGAGAUCAUGAGGAAGACCAGUGGCGAAGGCGGCAUUCUGGACCGAUAUUGACGCUGAGGAGCGAAAGCCAGGGGAGCAAACGGG
rnacentral:rRNA from 1 species